GAUAUCACAUUAUACAUCACUGAUGAGAAUCUGAAAAAUCUUAUAUAGUGUUAGUUCAGUCUGUAGCCUCGUCAUCAAGAAUCAACAUGAUCCGAAUUAUAAUAGUGUUUCAGUCACUCUAUUGGAUUCAAGGAAUUGCAGGGGGGGAUGAUGUCUCUCAGCCCAACCUAAUCUCAGCUAAAAUGGGCCAGUCAGCCACAAUAAACUGCUCACACACCAAGGGUUCAACUUAUUAUCUGAUGUACUGGUUCCGUCAGUAUCAUGGAGAGAGUAUGGAGCUCAUAGUGCUCACUAAUGCCUUUGGCACUCCGGACUUUGGAAAGUUCAGCGAAAGUAAAUUCUCAGCCAUUCAAACAGUUCCUGAGAGCGGCUCCUUCACAGUGAAAGAUGUGGAUUAUAGUGACAGCGCUGUGUAUUUCUGUGCCGUGAGUAAACACAGUGUUAUAACCACAUGGCAGAGCUGUACAAAAACACACCGUGUGUCUCAGUCAGGAAGAAAUGGAGACACCCAAAGAGGUGUUGUAUGA